rnacentral:rRNA from 1 species
UACGUAGGCAACAAGCGUUGUUCGGAGUUACUGGGCGUAAAGGGUGCGUAGGCGGUUGCUUAAGUUUGGUGUGAAAUCUCCCGGCUCAACUGGGAGGGUGCGCCCGAAUACUGAGUGACUAGAGUGCGGGAGAGGAAAGUGGAAUUCCUGGUGUAGCGGUGAAAUGCGUAGAUAUCAGGAGGAACACCGGUGGUGUAGACGGCUUUCUGGACCGUAACUGACGCUGAGACACGAAAGCGCGGGUAGCAAACAGG